GGGUAUGUGGUGUAAAUUAGCAUUUCUUUUUUGCAGAAAGAGAGUGUUUAUCCA
rnacentral:tRNA from 1 species